ACAGGAGGGAUUUCAUUUGGAUCAGGUGUCUCUUCUGUAUCAACAAUUUCUUCUACAUGAGGCUUAAUACAAUCUGAUUUAGGAGAAGUAAUGAAAUUUGCCUUGUAUUUACUGUGCUUAGCAAUAUUUCUUUCACAUUGGUUAUGACCUUAUCAUGUUCUUUUCCUCUUCCCAUACCCAUAUAAAGAGAUUCAGUAUCACAAAUAACGUUACUACUUUUUAUGGCACCAAAACCAAGCUCAAGUCUUUAUGGUCUCUAAUUAAAAUCUUUAUGAAGUAGAUCCUGUAAAACAUUACAGAUGUAAAUAAUUGUUUCCCACUUAAGUCACCUAAUUUACAGGAUUGCUCAGAAAUGUCUACCCAUACCCAUAAAGCAAGAGAGGAGAGAAAUGCAGUAAAAUACUUGUUCUUGCCUUAGGAGCAGAAGGGUGAAGUGUCAAAGAUCCAGCUGCUGAAAUGAGUCUCACUGUGGAAAAUAACACUAUCUGUAUACAUUUUUAUUAUUUUGAUCGUGUCCUUGGACUGUGUCAGUCUGCCCUGAUACAGGCAUCACAAUCACCUGAAGCAAAGCAAGAGCAAAGAGUGCACAAGCGAGAAAUGUGGAUACAUCACAAAUUCAGUCUGAAACCCUGAAUCCCUGGCAGAAGCAUGUUUCGAGGCAGCUAUUACUCUAACUUUCAUGGACACAUCUGCCAAAGCGAAGCAAAGCAAAGUAAAAUCCAGCCUGUUACCUGGGAGGUGACCCACUUGUGUUCCCUGGUAUUUCUGCCGAAAGGAGGGAGGCAAGAGGACAGAUUUUUGAAAAUAAAGUAGUAGAAAUAAGCUGCUGCCAAAAUGCAAUCAUUAUUAAAAGUAUGCUAAUACUAAGUAAUAAACAUCAGUUAUCAGUUAUUGCAAAGAGCAAGUCAUAUUCUUUUGCACUCUGGAGGAUGGAAGAGCUGUGACACUUGUUUCUAUGGUAUAUAUCCCUGGACAAAGAUGGAGCGACCUGCAUAUCAUCCUUGCAUUGGCUUCAUGUCAUACUAAGAAAAAUUAUUAAAUCAUUUAAAAUUUUUUUAAUUUAAAUUUUUCUGAGUUCUUUAAACUCAGAAAGUUUGCUGCAUAUCUAAUUACAGAUCUUCUCAUUAUUGUAUUUUGAGAUUUUAAAAUUAAGCUAUGUUACUUUGUCUGAUAUGCAGCUGCUAUGACUAAAUAGUCUGAACUUUUUUUUGUAAGAGAUUACUAAUGUACAUAAUUACACAAGUAAAUAUUAAAAUUGCUAUAAUGUCAUCAAGUUUGAUACUUGAGUUUUAACCAUUUUAGGAGAUAAGGCUGUGUGAACACAUACUGAAUGCUGAAAACACAUUAUCUUUACAUAAUUUCAUGUUAAAAAUCCCUGUGACGUGAAAUCUGUUCUGAAAGAAAAAAGAUUCAUACCAGAUAAACUUGACAUGUUCCUUGAUACUGGUGAUACUAUUAGUGCAUAAAGUUAGGCACAUGGUAACAUAUUUUGGUAAUUUAUAAGUCUGAUCUAAAUCUGGACUAUUUUUGUAAAGAUUAAGAUCAUGAUCAUUAGCCCUUUAUAGAAACUGAUUAAAAAAAAAAAUAAAAAUUGCAAAAAUCAGCACUUUCACCAUUGAUAACUAUGUUGAAUCUAUUUUUACCUGAACCAUCAAGAAUUUCCUCAUGCUUUCACCUCACCUUUGAUGUUUGCUAACAGUAAACCUCAGAUGGCAAGGGUUUAAGUGAGCUUUAACUGUACAACACUUACUAGUGGCAUUCUCACAGAAAUGCCAGUACUGCACCAGAAUGAGUCCCUGGGAAACAGCAGUAUGUCUGCAGUCACAGUAGCCAAAAACGACAAGGGGCAGUACGUGAAAGGUGCGCACAGAUCAUGCUUGUAGUGAAAAUAUAUGUGUUAGUUCUUUAGAGUUUGAUGUGAAGAAUUGUGCCGUUGUGAAACUAGUAAUGAAGAGAUUUAUAGACAUGGGACAUUGCUCUCCUAACUAGCAAUUGGGCUGGUAACUGCUUCUGAUCCUAUCCUAUGUAUAUCUAGUAUCAUAUAUAUAUAUCCUAUAUAUGUCUAGCAGGAUGUGUUGCUUUUCCUCAGUGAAUAAUAAUUAAUGGCACUGUAAAAUAGCUGACAUGGAGUUUUUAAUCUAUGUAAGUGUGUUCAAAGAUCUGAACAAAUGUUUUUUUCUCUGAAACAUUUUUAUCCAAAAAAAAAACCCCAAAAAAACCCCAACCACAUUUUUUUCCUGUGUUCCAGUGAAGAUUCUUUUUGCAGCUUUAAAAGAUCUUGAUGAAAUAUGUUAUUUCUGGAUCUCCAAUGUCAAUUUUGAAUGAAAUUAACUGACACUUUGAUCUAACAAAAUACUUACCUAACACCCUUGAAUCACAAUUCUUGAGCAGGUCCGUUGAGAAAGCACAAGACUACUCCUGUGCCAGAAUUUGCAAAAAUACCUUGUUGAGUUGAGAUGUGAAGUAGUGAAGGUCUGGACAGAAAGGUGCGAAGAGAUGCCAUUGUGAGUUUUGUCAUAAACAGCAAAGUGAAGAUUAACAGGGAUCUAAAGGGAAGCUAAAGGUAAUUAGAGUGUGAAAGCAUUAAGAGGCUAAGAUAAUGUGUACAACUACCAGAUCUGUGACUAGUAAAACAAGACAGUGAAACCAGCUUGUGAUAGAAGGAAAGAAGUGAAUUCAGUUUAUUUGUGAACAGAGAGGAGAGUUCAUACAUUUUUACAGACACAUACACACGCACACAUAUUAGUAUCCUGGCCUACUAAGCCUUAUUUUCAUUUAUGUUACAGUACUUUUACCCCAUUUGGGCAGAUUAAACAAUAUUUCAGGAUGUAAAUGACACCCAUUUUAAGGCUUCUCUAGAUUAACACAGCAAUACAAAGGAGCCUCAACGUAGACAAAAACCAGCACUAAUUUCUCUAUGAUCUAACACAUUCCAUCUAUGCUACUUUACCAAACCUGGAAUAAAUCCUAACUGCUGCUCAAAAAUGCCUUGAUCAUUUUCGAUCUUUCCAUCUACCACAUCAGUUGCUUCCACUGAAACAAUUCUUGACCCUUUCCUUCCAGAUGCUCCAGGGAAAGGGUCAAAUGUUGGACCUGUGUUAGAACACAACUGGCCCUGUUUUCCCUGGCACAAUAAGUGUACUAGAAGCAAAAGUGAA